ensembl:lncRNA
UUAGACUUUAAUUGAGGGGGUGAAAACUUUAAUAUAAUAAGACCUAUGGUGUAUUUAAGCUAUCUAUUGCUAUAGCAAAGCUUAACAACUUCCUACUGAAAAAACAGCUAAAACCAGUCUAAGCUGAUUAACUGCUUUGACUGGUCUCCCAAGCUGGUUUAAAAAGUGCUCACAACAUGCUAGUAACUUGCUAAUCAAGCUAGAAACAUGCUAACAAAAUGCUAGUAACUUGCUAAUGUAACGGAGUUAUUUUGUUUAUGUUAUUUUCACUCAAAAUCCCCCUUUUUCUAUUAAAUACGAUGUAUAUGAUCUUCAAGAUUUGUUCAGGAAGUGCAUUGUCACUUUAAGAGUAUAUACUUUGUCUUGUGCCACGCGCGUGCUUUGCUCCCUCAGUUCACUUCCUUCUGAGCCGAGAGAAGUUUGUCUCGUGGUUCAUUAAAUGGUGUUUAAUUAAAUGAAAAGAUCACAACAUUCACGUUUUCAACAUAUUUUCCCAUUUAUGCAGAAAAUAAAGACAGUGCUAAGCAGUGAAAGGUCUGAAGUUUCUUUAUUGAGUGACAUCAACACAACGCAGAGUGGAUUCCCUUUACCUGGGACCCGUUACAAUAGUGCUGUGACCUUUUAAGGAUCCAUCUGAAGAUCGACGCCUGUUUGUUCGCCGUGGGAAGCUGCAGUGACUGGUUUUAGGUAUUUUUCUCAAGGACUGGAAGGACUAUUUUAUUUGAGGGUGGACAAUUUUUUCUCAGAAGACACGUCACCAAUUUAAAUUCAGACUUUCAACCAAUUAAUUUGCUGAUUAGCAAAUUAACAUACUGAUUACUGUUAUCAAUUUAUGCUGUUCAGAACAGUAUUUUUGUUUGUUUGUUAUACUAAAGUUAAAGUUAAUU